AAAUUGAUGUUUGCUUUUUUUAUAUCUCUGUACAGCACUGAUUGUGCUCAGUAAAUACAUUUUGAUUGAUUGUUGUCGCUGGGCGGAGCUGUAACCGCGUCUGUCUCCCUGUCAGGGUCUGAAGGACCUGGCGAUCUCAGACUGCACCAGAGCGAUAGAGUUGAAUCCUGACUACGUGCGGGCGCUGCUGAGGAGGGCGGAGCUUUACGAGCAGACGGAGAAGCUGGACGAGGCGCUGGAGGACUACAAGAAGGUUCUGGACCGAGACCCGAACCAGACCAGCGCCAGGCAGGCCUGCAUGAGGUUACCUCAGCAGAUUCAGGAGAGAAACGAGAAGUUGAAGGAGGAGAUGAUGAGUAAACUGAAGGACCUGGGGAACCUGGUCCUGAGGCCUUUCGGACUCUCCACCAACAACUUCCAGGUGAACCAGGACG